GAUGAAGAACGUAGCGAAAUGCGAUACUUGGUGUGAAUUGCAGAAUCCCGUGAACCAUCGAGUCUUUGAACGCAAGUUGCGCCCGAAGCCAUCAGGUUGAGGGCACGUCUGCCUGGGCGUCACAUAUCGUUGCCCAAUGCCUAUUGCAGUGCAAUAGGAAUUUCUAGGGCGAAUGAUGGCUUCCCGUGAGCGUUGUUGCCUCGCGGUUGGUUGAAAAUCGAGUCCUUGGUAGGGUGUGCCAUGGUAGAUGGUGGUCGAGUUAGAACGAGACCGAUCAUGUGCAUGCUCCCCAAAAUAUGGCCUCUAUGACCCACACGCGUCUUUUGACGCUCAUGACGAGACCUCAGGUCAGGCGGGGCUACCCGCUGAAUUUAAGCAUAUCAAUAAGCGGAGGA
rnacentral:misc_RNA from 1 species